rnacentral:rRNA from 1 species
GACGUAGGGCGCGAGCGUUGUCCGGAUUUAUUGGGCGUAAAGAGCUCGUAGGCGGCUUGUCGCGUCGUCCGUGAAAACCUGCAGCUCAACUGCAGGCUUGCGGUCGAUACGGGCAGGCUGGAGUUCGGUAGGGGAGACUGGAAUUCCUGGUGUAGCGGUGAAAUGCGCAGAUAUCAGGAGGAACACCGGUGGCGAAGGCGGGUCUCUGGCCUGAUUCUGACGCUGAGGAGCGAAAGCCAGGGUAGCGAACGGG